UAGGGAAUCUUCGGCAAUGGACGAAAGUCUGACCGAGCAACGCCGCGUGAGUGAAGAAGGUUUUCGGAUCGUAAAACUCUGUUGUUAGAGAAGAACAAGGACGUUAGUAACUGAACGUCCCCUGACGGUAUCUAACCAGAAAGCCACGGCUAACUACGUGCCAGCAGCCGCGGUAAUACGUAGGGCAAGCGUUGUCCGGAUUUAUUGGGCGUAAAGCGAGCGCAGGCGGUUUCUUAAGUCUGAUGUGAAAGCCCCCGGCUCAACCGGGGAGGGUCAUUGGAAACUGGGAGACUUGAGUGCAGAAGAGGAGAGUGGAAUUCCAUGUGUAGCGGUGAAAUGCGUAGAUAUAUGGAGGAACACCAGUGGCGAAGGCGGCUCUCUGGUCUGUAACUGACGCUGAGGCUCGAAAGCGUGGGGAGCAAACAGG
rnacentral:rRNA from 1 species